GCUCACCCAGGCUGCACCACCGGCAAAAUGCAGGUCCUAACUAUUCCUGAUGACACUUCUCUUGCCUUCAGGAGCUGGAGCUGAGGAGAUUAUUGAUGGUGUUCAAGCAAAACCACACUUCUGCCCUUACAUGGUUCAUCUGAAGAUCAUCGUUGACAGAAGUUUUGAGGAAAGCUGUGGUGGGUUUCUUAUAACCCAACAAUUUGUGAUGACUACUGCAUACUGCAAAGGAAGCCAUCCAAUUUCCUCAAACACUUUUGACUUUCCAAGAGUGAUUCAAUACU